CACGGCCCGCGCCUGCGCCCGAGGCAGGUGCCGGGAGCAGGGGCGGAGAGCGGAGGGCCGCGGCAGUGCUUCCGGCGCGCGGCUGGGGCCGUGGGGCUGGGCGCGCUUGGCCAUCCCUUGCGCGGUCAGGGUCCUGCAGGCUGGGCGUCCACGAGAGCUCCUGGGGACCCGGGACGUGCUGCUUAUUGUCCAUCCCUGCGAGGGCGGGGUCGUUAUUCAGCUCCCUCCUAGAUCUUGUGAUGAAAGUUGUGAACUUCACUGCGAGCGGGGAACGGAAGGAAACCCGGAGAGUGGGCUCAGCUCCUCCCUUCCCUCUAGCGACAAUCGGGCCCGUGGGCUCCGGAGAGUGUCGCAGGAGUGAAUCGUGACAACCAGUAACCUUUUAUCGAGCGCUUGCCUAACAGAGCUGGACCCUAACAGCACUCAAAACUGUAGGACGUAGAUGCUGUUAUCAUCCCCCUGUAACAACGGCACCGAGUGUCAGCGAACACCCUUGUCCAGGGUCACGCAGCUAGUCUGUGGCUAAAGUCCAGGCUGCCAUAAUAGUAAAAAGGGUGAAGUGGGGACAGAGAGGCCGGCUUUGGACGACUGGGUGGAGAGAGUCCUGAGUAUUUCGGUUUUUUCUUGUUCCACUAGAGGGAAAGGGCUCCACCGCUGUGGUGGCAAAUGUGACCUCAGCAGCCUCAGCACACAGGCCGGUAUAGGUCCAUCUCAGAAACCCUUGCUGAGACAUGUGACCUCAGAGUCCUCUAAGGCCAUCCUCCUGUUUUCGACAUAUUUCAGGAGACUACAGAUUCUAACCUAAAAGUCACUUCGCUGGCAUUUACUACGUCAUCUCAGACAAGUUACUCAAUCUCACUGACCCCCAAACUUCAGUUCCCUCAUCUGUUUUGAGGGCAUAAGACUAUCUUCACUUUAUAUUUGCCAGGAUAUCCAGUACCAAAGCCUGGCCUGGGCUUCCCAUGGAGCACAGAGAAGAGCCACGGGUGAAGGGACUGCAGAACUUCAAAGAAAUGAGACAAGGAUUUGGCUUCAAGAUGAGGUUUUAAGAUCAGGAGAGAAGAUAAAGAAGCUUCUUCAAAGCAGAAAAACCCUGGAAACUCUGCAUCCACUCACUGUAACUUUAGGGGGGAAUGCUCUCCAAGGGUCUACUUUACAAAAAAGACUAAAAACCUUUAGAAAACCAAUGUGGAAAUCCUAAGACUUAGCAGAACUUAUAGAGCAUCCAACCACUCUAUAGGAAGAAAGCCCUGAGAACUCCAACCAGGAAGAACCUCUCAACAUUAGAUUCUCUGAGCACCAGGGGACUCAUUCAGGAAAAGAACCUCACCGGUGCCUCGGUUGUGGGCAAAGCUCCCUUCGUGCAGACUUUUGUAAACGCUAACAUCUCCCAUCAGAGGAGAGAUCCUGUGAAUGUACUACAUCUUAUGGAAAGCAGUGUGACUGUGUUUUAAGAAAAUUAAAAUUUGGGGGUGCCUGGGUGGCUCCAUCGGUUAAGUGUCUGAUAUCAGCUCAGGUCAUGGUCUUGCGGUCGUGAUAUGGAGCCCUGAGUCACGCUCCAUGCUAAGCGUGGAGCCUGCGUGGGAUUCUCCCACUACCUGUCUGUCUCCCUGCCCCUCCCCCACUCAUGCUCUCUUUCUCUCUCAAAAUAAAUAAACUUAAAAGAAGCUUAAAAUGUUUCUCCUCUUCAUUUUUUUUAAAGUUUAUUUAUUUAUUUUUGAGAGACUGAGCGAGUGGAGAGG